GGUAAAUUUUGUAAUGUUGGAACUAAAGAAAGAGCAAAAUGUUCGUCAUCAUUUAAUGGUUUUUUUAUUUGCUGUAAUAGUUCCUUUUCUAAAAAGAUCGUCACUUAAUUUCCUUUUUUUCUUUUCGUUUCUUUCUGUUGGGGCAGGUGUAGAUGAAAUUAGUUCCAGUGAAACUGGUGAUGGAUCUGCUGACAAUGAUGCAUUUGUAUCCAGUGAUCCAUUGGUACAGAUGUGAUUAGAGGCUGUGAAAUACUAAUAUUUGUAUAUUCAUCUGUUGUACAUAUAUUUUCUUUCUGACUUCCAC
rnacentral:lncRNA from 1 species